rnacentral:tRNA from 1 species
GGUGAGGUGCGAGAGUGGUUGAAUCGGGCGGUCUCGAAAACCGUUGAGCCUUCGCGGGCUCCGUGGGUUCGAAUCCCACCCUCACCGCCA